rnacentral:rRNA from 1 species
AGCGAACGUUAGCGGCGGGCCUAACACAUGCAAGUCGAGCGAGAAAGGGGCUUCGGCCCCGAGUACAGCGGCGGACGGGUGAGGAACACGUAGGUAAUCUGCCCUUCGAUGGAGGACAACGGUCCGAAAGGACCGCUAAUACUGCAUACGUUCUUCGGGACCUCGGUUCUGGAGAGGAAAGCCUCGCAAGGGGCGUCGAAGGAGGAGCCUGCGUCGCAUCAGCUAGUUGGUGGGGUAAUGGCCUACCAAGGCGAAGACGCGUAGCUGGUCUGAGAGGAUGAUCAGCCACACUGGGACUGAGACACGGCCCAGACUCCUACGGGAGGCAGCAGUGGGGAAUAUUGGACAAUGGGCGCAAGCCUGAUCCAGCCACGCCGCGUGAGUGAUGAAGGCCUUCGGGUCGUAAAGCUCUGUGGGGAGGGACGAACAAACCGCUGAAGAGGCGGGACUGACGGUACCUCCUUAGCAAGCACCGGCUAACUUCGUGCCAGCAGCCGCAGUAACAC